AGAACGAACGCUGGCGGCAUGCCUAACACAUGCAAGUCGAACGUGAUCCGGGCUUCGGCCUGGUGAAAGUGGCAGACGGGUGAGUAACGCGUGGGAACCUGCCCUGUGGUAGGGAAUAACCGCGGGAAACUGCGGCUAAUACCCUAUGAGUCCUUCGGGAGAAAGAUUUAUCGCCAUAGGAGGGGCCCGCGUCGGAUUAGGUAGUUGGUGGGGUAACGGCCUACCAAGCCUUCGAUCCGUAGCUGGUCUGAGAGGAUGAUCAGCCACACUGGGACUGAGAUACGGCCCAGACUCCUACGGGAGGCAGCAGUGGGGAAUAUUGGACAAUGGGCGCAAGCCUGAUCCAGCCAUGCCGCGUGAGUGAUGAAGGCCCUAGGGUUGUAAAGCUCUUUUGUGCGGGAAGAUAAUGACGGUACCGCAAGAAUAAGCCCAGGCUAACUUCGUGCCAGCAGCCGC
rnacentral:rRNA from 1 species